GUGUACAGCCAUACUACCCUGAACACGCCCAAUCUCGUCUGAUCUCGGAAGCUAAGCAGAUUCUGGCCUAGUUAGUACUUGGAUGGGAGAAAGGGAGAGAGCGACACC
ensembl:rRNA 5S_rRNA 5S ribosomal RNA